UUCUUCCACAACCAUUAAAGAGAUAAAAUCUUUAUAAUGCACAACACCCUGGUCAGGGUCAACUGAAGCAGACAUCAUUUCUUCCAUUUCUUCUUGAGUAAAUGGCUCUCCUGUUUCUGUCAUGUAUUUAGUUCAAAUUUUUCAUAACGGACAUAUCCUGUGGGUUCAUCUUCCUCAACCUGGGAAAUGACGAUCCAGAAUGACAAUCACAAUUUUCAGCUUUGCGUAUAAAACACGUUUAAAACACAGAGUGUUUUAAAUACUCGUUAGACUAAAUGCAGUGGCCUCGUGAGGUGUGAAUCAUACAUUAAUUGUCAAAAUAAACGUCAAAAACUUA